GUCAGGAUAACUCAGUUGGUAGAGCAGAGGACUGAAAAUCCUUGUGUCAUCGGUUCAAAUCUGGUUCCUGGAA
rnacentral:tRNA from 1 species